rnacentral:rRNA from 1 species
GACGAACGCUGGCGGCGUGCCUAAUACAUGCAAGUAGAACGCUGAAGAGAGGAGCUUGCUCUUCUUGGAUGAGUUGCGAACGGGUGAGUAACGCGUAGGUAACCUGCCUUGUAGCGGGGGAUAACUAUUGGAAACGAUAGCUAAUACCGCAUAACAAUGGAUGACACAUGUCAUUUAUUUUAAAGGGGCAAUUGCUCCACUACAAGAUGGACCUGCGUUGUAUUAGCUAGUAGGUGAGGUAAUGGCUCACCUAGGCGACGAUACAUAGCCGACCUGAGAGGGUGAUCGGCCACACUGGGACUGAGACACGGCCCAGACUCCUACGGGAGGCAGCAGUAGGGAAUCUUCGGCAAUGGGGGCAACCCUGACCGAGCAACGCCGCGGGAGUGAAGAAGGUUUUCGGAUCGUAAAGCUCUGUUGUAAGUCAAGAACGGGUGUGAGAGUGGAAAGUUCACACUGUGACGGUAGCUUACCAGAAAGGGACGGCUAACUACGUG